AACAAGGCGUACCUGCGGACCUGCGGAAGGAUCAUUAACGAGCGUAACCUACCCUUUUAAAAAAUGGGUGGUACCUCCCGUCCUUUGCGGGCCCCCUUCUUUUAUUAAGGGGGGGGCUUUUAAGACUUUCUGCUUCGGCGGGGUUAUUCCCGCCGGAACACCUUCAAAAAACUCUUGAUCAAAAAACUGUUCAGUCCGAGAAUUUUUGAAAAUUAAAACAAAACUUUCAACAAUGGAUCU
rnacentral:misc_RNA from 1 species